GUGGGGAAUAUUGGACAAUGGGCGCAAGCCUGAUCCAGCCAUGCCGCGUGAGUGAUGAAGGCCUUAGGGUUGUAAAGCUCUUUCAGUAGGGAAGAUAAUGACGGUACCUACAGAAGAAGCCCCGGCUAACUUCGUGCCAGCAGCCGCGGUAAUACGAAGGGGGCUAGCGUUGUUCGGAUUUACUGGGCGUAAAGCGCACGUAGGCGGAUUGGUCAGUUAGAGGUGAAAUCCCGAAGCUCAACUUCGGAACUGCCUUUAAUACUGCCAGUCUCGAGUCCGGAAGAGGUGAGUGGAACUCCUAGUGUAGAGGUGGAAUUCGUAGAUAUUCGGAAGAACACCAGUGGCGAAGGCGACAUACUGGCUCAUUACUGACGCUGAGGCUCGAAAGCGUGGGGAGCAAACUGGAUUAGAUACCCCGGUAGUCC
rnacentral:rRNA from 1 species